GCUUGCCUUGGCAGGACAUACAUGAAGCUGGGACAAAACAGAGAAGACUAGCACGGCCCAGGGCAAGGACGACACUCAGAUAUAGGAAGUGUCCAUAUUUUUU
ensembl:snRNA U6 U6 spliceosomal RNA